UUUCCAGAGAUGGAUUGGUGCCUUCGGGAACUCUGAGACAGGUGCUGCAUGGCUGUCGUCAGCUCGUGUUGUGAAAUGUUGGGUUAAGUCCCGCAACCGAGCGCAACCCUUAUCCUUUGUUGCCAGCGGUCCGGCCGGGAACUCAAAGGAGACUGCCAGUGAUAAACUGGAGGAAGGUGGGGAUGACGUCAAGUCAUCAUGGCCCUUACGAGUGGGGCUACACACGUGCUACAAUGGCGCAUACAAAGAGAAGCGACCUCGCGAGAGCAAGCGGACCUCAUAAAGUGCGUCGUAGUCCGGAUUGGAGUCUGCAACUCGACUCCAUGAAGUCGGAAUCGCUAGUAAUCGUGGAUCAGAAUGCCACGGUGAAUACGUUCCCGGGCCUUGUACACACCGCCCGUCACACCAUGGGAGUGGGUUGCAAAAGAAGUAGGUAGCUUAACCUUCGGGAGGGCGCUUACCACUUUGUGAUUCAUGACUGGGGUGAAGUCGUAACAAGGUAGGCGUAGUGCU
rnacentral:rRNA from 1 species